AACGAACGCUGGCGGCGUGGAUAAGACAUGCAAGUCGAACGAGAUUUUUCGUUGUAGCAAUACGAUGGAAAGUCUAGUGGCGAACGGGUGCUUAACACGUGGGCAACCUGCCAGGAAGUGGGGGAUAGCUCGCCGAAAGGCGAAUUAAUACCGCAUGUGAUUAGAGAGGACAUCCUUUCGAAAUUAAAGUCGGGGCAACCUGACGCUUCUUGUGGGGCCCGCGGCCUAUCAGCUAGUUGGUGAGGUAACGGCUCACCAAGGCUUUGACGGGUAGCUGGUCUGAGAGGACGACCAGCCACACUGGGACUGAGACACGGCCCAGACACCUACGGGUGGCAGCAGUCGAGAAUUUUUGACAAUGGGGGAAACCCUGAUCGAGCGACGCCGCGUGGAGGAUGAAGGUCUUCGGAUUGUAAACUCCUGUCAUUGGGGAACUAUGCACAGAUAUUAACUGUAUUUGUGUUGAUAGUACCCGAAGAGGAAGAGACGGCUAACUCUGUGCCAGCAGCCGCAGUAAUAC
rnacentral:rRNA from 1 species